rnacentral:rRNA from 1 species
GUAGGUGGCAAGCGUUGUCCGGAAUUAUUGGGCGUAAAGCGCGCGCAGGCGGUCCUUUAAGUCUGAUGUGAAAGCCCACGGCUCAACCGUGGAGGGUCAUUGGAAACUGGGGGACUUGAGUACAGAAGAGGAAAGCGGAAUUCCAAGUGUAGCGGUGAAAUGCGUAGAGAUUUGGAGGAACACCAGUGGCGAAGGCGGCUUUCUGGUCUGUAACUGACGCUGAGGCGCGAAAGCGUGGGGAGCAAACAGGAUUAGAUACCCUGGUAGUCCACGCCGUGAACGAUGAGUGCUAAGUGUUAGGGGGGUUUCCCGCCCCCUUAGUGCUGCAGCUAACGCAUUAAGCACUCGCCUGGGGAGUACGGCCGCAAGGCUG